rnacentral:rRNA from 1 species
UGGGAUUCCCUGAGUAACGGCGAGCGAAAAGGGAACAGUCCAGCGCCGAAUCCCGCGCUCUUUGGGCGCCGGGAAAUGUGGCGUUUGGGAGUGAGCGUGCCGGAGGUUGGCCAAGCAGCAAGUCCCCCUGACCGGGGCUCUUUCCCAAAGUGGGUGCGAGGCCCAUAGCUGCCAGGUCUCUUCCGGAUGCGAUCUCCUCGGAGUCGGGUUGCUUGGGAAUGCAGCCCUAAGUGGGUGGUAAACUCCACCUAAGACUAAAUACUGCCGUGAGACCGAUAGCAAACAAGUACCGUGAGGGAAAGUUGCAAAGAACUUUGAAGAGAGAGUUCAAGAGUACGUGAAACUGCUCAGAGGAAAACGGGUGGGCCCUCGAAAUCCUGUGGCGGGAGGAUUCAGUCGAGAGGUCCGGAGGCGAAGCAGAGGCGUUGACAGAAUGGGUCCCGCGACCGGGCCUCCUCCGCUUCGCCCUUUCGGAUCGACCGACGCAUUUCUUUCCCGCCCGAAGGACGCCGCAACGGGUUGGCGGGACGGCCUUAAGGACGGGAGCCGGCAGGUGGCCGGUGGUCCUCCCUCGUGGAGGCCGCUGGUUGUUAGCCUUUCCGUCGCACGGCCGUACCCCGACCCUGGUGACGCGAGGCCCGCAUGGGCUUCUCCGCCUCCUCCGAAAGGUUGCGAGUGGACGUGGCAGGUGAGGCGACGCGUUCGCGGGCACACGGACCGACGCCGUGGCCCGGCGAUGCGGCGCCCCCGUUGGCCGCGCAAGGCUCGUCGGAGCGCUGGUGGUUAGCGGCGAGUAGA